rnacentral:rRNA from 1 species
UACGAAAGGUGCAAGCGUUGUUCGGAAUCAUUGGGCGUAAAGCGCACGUAGGCGGGAAAGUGUGUCGAUUGUGAAAGCCCAGGGCUUAACCCUGGAAUUGCAGUCGAAACUGCUUUUCUUGAAUACUUGAUAGGGUGGGAGAAUUCCUGGUGGAGCAGUGAAAUGCGUAGAGAUCAGGAGGAAUACCGGAGGCGAAGGCGCCUGCCUGGCAAGAUAUUGACGCUGAGGUGCGAAAGCGUGGGGAGCAAACAGG